rnacentral:tRNA from 1 species
GAGGGUAUAGCUCAGUGGUAGAGUGUUUGCUUAGCAUGCAUGAGGUCCUGGGUUCUAAUCCCCUGCACCUCCA